UUUCAAAAUCCACGUGUCCUUCUCUCAGUAUUGCAUCUAUACCAUAUAAAUUGGUCCCUUUAUUACAAAGUUUCAUGUCAUAGGAUUUCCGGUUCUUCAUUAUUCUUCUCACCCUCAAUUCAAAUUCUAUUCCUCAGAUUAGAUUAGAUACAGAAGAUGCAGAAGGGUAGAGAAGUUCGGGAUGAUAUUUUUGAACCAAGAGGGUUUGGAGAUUUUGGUGGGUUUGGAUUUCAGGAAAGAAUGAUGCCAAGUCUUUUUGGAGGCAGGGACCCAUUUGACGAUCCCUUUUUCAGAGACCCGUUUGAUAGCUUGUUUGGUUCAAAUUCUGCAUCGAGAGCAAUGCAGAAUCCAAACAGAGAAAAAGGAGUAGUUAUAGAAGAGUUAGACUCUGAUGAUGAGGGCUCUGGUGAUUGCCCUCAAGAUGGGGACAAAGAUUUUGAUCAGAAAAAAUCUAGAUCAACCGUGGAACCAUCGGUUGAGCAUCCAGAUGAUGAUGAUGAUGAUGUUAGUGAAAGGAAGAACAGUGAUGUAACAUACAAGAAUGACCAUUACACGACCAAACCCUCGAAGGCUAACAAAUUUUCUUUUCAGAGUAGCAGAGUUACUUAUGGUGGAAUAGAUGGUGCAUAUUAUACUUCUACUAGAACCAGAAAGAUGGGGGCUAAUGGGGUGGUAAUGGAGGAGAAAAAAGAAGCUGACUCAACAACAGGACAAGCAACACAUAGAAUUAGCAGAGGAAUCCAUGAAAAGGGUCAUUCGGUUUUUAGGAAGCUUGACUCAGAUGGUAAAGUUGAUACAACCCAAACACUGCACAAUCUUAAUGAAGAUGAACUUGUAGGAUUUGAAGAAGCGUGGAAAGGAAAUAAUAUGGCACGAUUGCCUGGAUUUGAUGUACAUAUGAGUGGGGAGCAUCACAAUGUUGUAGAUUCCAGCAAUGUGAAGCAGAGCAGUAACCAGUCUUGGCCACUGGCAUAUUUGGAGCCAUCUAAAGGAGAGAGAAAAUUUCCAUCAAACCAUGAGGCAGGAAACAGUUCAGCGGGAACAAGAACAAAAAAAGUUAUUAGAAUCAAUAUUGAUUGAAUGUUGGGAUUUGGUAGUGGAUAUUGCUUCCCUUUCUGUCUGUAAACACAGAACUGAGGGUUGUGAAACUUGGACGUAAAUUGUAUGAUUAAAUUCUCCUAUGGGUGGUGGUGAGAGUCGUCUUCUAGCUAUUAUUAUUUUUGUCAUUCUUGCUAAGAAGUGAGUCAUGGGGAUGGUUUUCAUCAUCAAAGGAGACUCCUUCCAGUGAAAGGACCUAUUCUGGAGGCAAUUUCAGAGGUUCCAGUGCAGAGUUCUCCAUUGAGGUCUUCAACGACCAAAAGGGAGUGAAAUUAAUAGAUAAUGCUCAGAAGAAAAUGAUUACUUCAAACUCUUGUUGGUAAAAUGCAUAUCAAAAUCUUUUUGCUGGGUGUUUUGAGAUCUUGGCUGUUGAUGAGAAGAGGUCUAGAUUAGCUUGACACCUAAAUGAAGGCUUUUAUUAAUUUUCCUUUCCCCAGUUAAGAGUUCUCUUCGCACCAA